UCAAUAUGACAUAUGUGAUGGAGCAGCAGCUAUGUUACCAGCAAACCAUUACUGCACAACAGCAAAGUAAGAAAUAGGCAAAACUAAAUGAAGAGUGCUAGACAAAGCAGGGUACAUGAACCUGUGGCUCCAGGCAUCUGGACAGUCUUGAAGUUUUGGAAGAACAAACUAUCUCCUUCACGCUGUCAUCUGCUUAAUAUGAAGGUCUCAGGCCCAGGUACUAUGCUGCGUGCUGGUGACACAGUGGAUCCCUGCCCAUCAAGCAGCCGCUUUGGUUCGAGCAAACUCAGAUGCUGUCAACUUUCUAAGCCAGUGGGAGCAUCUUCUCAACUCCGUAUUUUGAAAGCCAUCAAGAGCUCCCAGAGCUCCUGGCUGGAGGUUGCUCAAGAUGGAUUGUUUGGAAGAAGAGCAAGUAUUUAUUGAGCAUCUUCUAUGUGGUCACAGGAUGGCAACCACAGUAACCAGGCACCACAAGCAGGCACACCACCAGCCAAGAAAGAAGAGAAUCCAUCUUUCUUGUGUUUCAUUUUUAGGAACAAGAAACUUUUCCCACAAGCCCCUGUCAGACUUCCUUCUACCCCUUGUUGUCCAGAGGUGCAACCAAUCACCAAAAAGGAAAGUGAGAUCACCAUCUUGCGUGAAUGUGUGUUGGCUCUCGGGCACACACGAUCUCUUCCUGUCUACGAAGCAGCACAGUGAGUGGUCUAAGGCCCAGGUGGCUCUGUUUUCAAGGUGGGGAGACCAACUCACAAAGCAAGGAGCCAUUUGCUCUAGAAAUCCACAGCCUGGAAGAGCCCAGCCUGGAUAUAGGCUGCCAAUUUGGCCCAAGGAUGAGUGACACUCCAGGGAACCUGGAAAAAAGCGAUCUGGCCCAGUGACUUGGGUCUCUGUCUUUCUAAGCCCCCUCCCCACAUCUGCAGAGUGCACUCAGGGUCGUGGGGAGGACCAGAGAGCCCUCCCUGUAAGGCCCCCGGAUGGUUUCAAGGGCUUUGGGGUCUUCCUGGCUGAGGCUGCAGGCAGCUUGGGGAGGGCAAGUUCUGUUUCCUCAUCUCCGGACUAUCCUUGAAGGAAAACUGGGCCCUAAACACCGACUGACACCGGUAACAUGACUGCCUCUUGGUGCCUGGCCACCACCUCCUCCUGGGGCGGCCAGGGCCGUGGCCCUGGCUGGGCGCCUCCCCCACUCCCUCGAGGCAGGCGGCUGCUAAUGGCUCUCCCCACAAGCUGGUUCAUUAAAGAUUUGUUCUGUCGAGUUGCAAUCAAAAUAAACAGACCAGCCUGAAAGCCAGGGAA